ACCUUUUGAGUCAUAUGUGUGAUAGCUGUGUAUUCACACCAUCCCAUGACAUGUGUCUCCCAUAAACCUUGUUAUAACAUCAGCACAUCAUCCAUCUCAUA